GAAUAGAUACCCCGGUAGUCCACGCCGUAAACGAUGAGUGCUAAGUGUUAGAGGGUUUCCGCCCUUUAGUGCUGCAGCAAACGCAUUAAGCACUCCGCCUGGGGAGUACGGUCGCAAGACUGAAACUCAAAGGAAUUGACGGGGGCCCGCACAAGCGGUGGAGCAUGUGGUUUAAUUCGAAGCAACGCGAAGAACCUUACCAGGUCUUGACAUCCUUCGCUACUUCUAGAGAUAGAAGGUUCCCCUUCGGGGGACGGAGUGACAGGUGGUGCAUGGUUGUCGUCAGCUCGUGUCGUGAGAUGUUGGGUUAAGUCCCGCAACGAGCGCAACCCUUGACCUUAGUUGCCAGCAUUUAGUUGGGCACUCUAAGGUGACUGCCGGUGACAAACCGGAGGAAGGUGGGGAUGACGUCAAAUCAUCAUGCCCCUUAUGACCUGGGCUACACACGUGCUACAAUGGAUGGUACAAAGGGCUGCAAGACUGCAAAGUCAAGCCAAUCCCAUAAAACCAUUCUCAGUUCGGAUUGCAGG
rnacentral:rRNA from 1 species